UUCGUUGAUUGCGGACGUGGUUUGUGUUUGAUAGACAUUUUGGACCAUAUUGAGUGUUCUUUUGCUAUUAUGGGACCGAAAAAGAGUUACCUACAGUCCUUAUGGAAGGUGACUCGUGUUACCAAUUCGCCCUCGACUGGUAAUUGGCGGUGCUUUCAGCUUCCCACCGUAGUGAGAAGUGGACCGGCGAGUCACGUUGGCUCGUUGUCGUCGGUUGUCUUCGGUUCGCCCGAUUUCCUCUCCAGAAAGGUGGCGGCGUGCAUACAAACACCCAGAGGCGUCGGAUGGCUUUUUGUGGGCACUUUUAUUAACAACCAAAAGCAUGUGGGGGGCACAGCAGUGGAGUCUACGCUAACUGCGCACUUUGCCGGUAACACUCUCCUUCCAAACAGUAACUCCCUCCCUCCCUCCUCCUCCCACUCCAUUCCAUCAAGCCAUCAACUACCAUCACAAAGAUCUUUUCUUGGUUCUUGACAAUGUGCUGGGAAACACGACACACCCAACCUGUGCAAUAUGUCUGCGGAUACGGAGUGCUUCUUGCUAAUCACUGAUGAAGAAGCUAUUGGGGAGAAUCUACAAAAAUUGCUGAUCUGCAACAAAACGAAUAUGAUAAUGGAUUGAUAUGCCUGAGGUAUGAUAGACCUGGAGUUAUCCUUUUCCUUUUUUGGAUGGUAUGUGAUUUUAGGUAGUGUAAAAAUGGUAUGGGUAGAUUUUGACUCAUGUCCUAAAUGUGAG